GCCUACGGGGGGCAGCAGUAGGGAAUUUUCGUCAAUGGGCGCAAGCCUGAACGAGCAAUGCCGCGUGAACGAGGAAGGUCUUCGAAUCGUAAAGUUCUGUUGAAGGGGAAAAAGAGCGGAGAGAGGAAAUGGUCUCCGAUUGAUAUUACCCUUCGAGGAAGUCACGGCUAACUACGUGCCAGCAGCCGCGGUAAUACGUAGGUGGCGAGCGUUAUCCGGAAUGAUUGGGCGUAAAGGGUGCGUAGGCGGCCUGCUAAGUCUGGAGUGAAAGGUACCGGCUCAACCGGUACAGGCUCUGGAAACUG
rnacentral:rRNA from 1 species